rnacentral:rRNA from 1 species
UAAUGGUUCACCAAGGGGACGAUGCGUAGCCGACCUGAGAGGGUGAUCGGCCACACUGGGAAUGAGACACGGCCCAGAUUCCUACGGGAGGCAGCAGUAGGGAAUCUUCCGCAAUGGACGAAAGUCUGACGGAGCAACGCCGCGUGAGUGAUGAAGGUUUUCGGAUCGUAAAGCUCUGUUGUUAGGGAAGAACAAGUGCGAGAGUAACUGCUCGCACCUUGACGGUACCUAACCAGAAAGCCACGGCUAACUACGUGCCAGCAGCCGCGGUAAUACGUAGGUGGCAAGCGUUGUCCGGAAUUAUUGGGCGUAAAGGGCUCGCAGGCGGUUUCUUAAGUCUGAUGUGAAAGCCCCCGGCUCAACCGGGGAGGGUCAUUGGAAACUGGGAAACUUGAGUGCAGAAGAGGAGAGUGGAAUUCCACGUGUAGCGGUGAAAUGCGUAGAGAUGUGGAGGAACACCAGUGGCGAAGGCGACUCUCUGGUCUGUAACUGACGCUGAGGAGCGAAAGCGUGGGGAGCGAACAGGAUUAGAUACCCUGGUAGUCCACGCCGUAAACGAUGAGUGCUAAGUGUUAGGGGGUUUCCGCCCCUUAGUGCUGCAGCUAACGCAUUAAGCACUCCGCCUGGGGAGUACGGUCGCAAGACUGAAACUCAAAGGAAUUGACGGGGGCCCGCACAAGCGGUGGAGCAUGUGGUUUAAUUCGAAGCAACGCGAAGAACCUUACCAGGUCUUGACAUCCUCUGACAACCCUAGAGAUAGGGCUUUCCCUUCGGGGACAGAGUGACAGGUGGUGCAUGGUUGUCGUCAGCUCGUGUCGUGAGAUGUUGGGUUAAGUCCCGCAACGAGCGCAACCCUUGAUCUUAGUUGCCAGCAUUUAGUUGGGCACUCUAAGGUGACUGCCGGUGACAAACCGGAGGAAGGUGGGGAUGACGUCAAAUCAUCAUGCCCCUUAUGACCUGGGCUACACACGUGCUACAAUGGACAGAACAAAGGGCUGCGAGACCGCAAGGUUUAGCCAAUCCCAUAAAUCUGUUCUCAGUUCGGAUCGCAGUCUGCAACUCGACUGCGUGAAGCUGGAAUCGCUAGUAAUCGCGGAUCAGCAUGCCGCGGUGAAUACGUUCCCGGGCCUUGUACACACCGCCCGUCACACCACGAGAGUUUGCAACACCCGAAGUCGGUGAGGUAA